rnacentral:lncRNA from 13 species
AGAGAGAGAGAGAGAGAGAGAGAGAGAGAGAGAGAGAGAGAGAGUAACUCCACCUGGUGGUAAAAUCCAGUGUCAGGUGAAUAUGUGUGUGUUUUACAGAGGCCUGUACAAUAACAGGUCGGAGGAUAUUGUUAUUACGUAUGUGCAUUAUUAGAAGUUUAACGUCACCGUUUAUGAUGUGUGCUGUAUGAGGCCUAUUCGCAUGCGCAAUAAAUCAACAAUAAACUUGAAAGUAAAAAAAAGAAAGAAACGUUUACAUUUUUUCUUCGAAGUCAAAGUGAACUGACUACAUUUGAAUGACUACAAGACCCAAGAUCCGGAAGUAUAUUUACAAAAAAGAACUGACGUCACGCCCCAUGAACUCGCAGUAUAUACACAUUGGACCCUCGAGGAAGUUAGUAAGAGACUAUUUUAACCGAAAAAAUAUAUAUAUAUAUUAAACAACAAUUUAAGUUGAUGUAAAGUUAGCUUGUUGUUUAGAAUUUACAUUUAACUAAACGUAUAGGCUAUUUUUGUGUUGUUUUUUUCUCCUAAAUACCGACCAUUAGUUAGCGUAGCUGUAGCUAUCUAAGUUAGCCAGAUGAGUCGCUUCUAUCCGACCAAUUUCUUCCCAAUAGAGCCACAGAUAGAACAACUCACUGUCUUUUAAAUAGAGCUAGCUAACGAUGUUCUCGGUUAGACUAACGAACUAGCUAGAAUGACAAACUAAGUCAGCCAGCCCCCUCGUAUUUAGCAAGUUAGUUAGCUAACGCGUGUGAGAGUGAGUGAGUGAGAGAGAGAGAGAGUCUGAUGACUGAUGACACUGAUAGUUGUGUCCUUGUCCUUUGGAGGAAGAGGAAGAGGAAGAGGAAUAUGAUCAGCCUACACGCCGUAUAGAUCAGUGCUUCGCCACCAGCCCACAGAGGGAACUGCGACUAACUGACAGCGAGGAAGACGAGGAAGAAUGCCGAGGAGAAAACAAUCAAACCCACAGCCCGUCAAAUUAGACGGUGUGGAGUGUGAACCAGGAUGCCUGGUUCUGGACAGUGACUUCCUGCUUAGUGGAGAGCUCUGUGAGUUUGGAGACACAGAGAUUAUGGGGCUGGACAGAGACACAGGUCAGACACACACACACACACUUACACAUAUACACAAACACGGACCAACUUGAUCUCAUAGUUUCACUUCCGAAAUUAUGGAUGAACGUCUAUUUUGUGAUGCAUUAGUUCUGCGUGGUUACAGGUUUAAUUCCACAUGGUAAACGGGUUUACUUUCCGAACGGUAAACGGGUUUAAUUCCGAACGGUAAACAGGGUUAAUUCCGAACGGUAAACGGGUUUACUUUCCGAACGGUAAACGGGUCUACUUCCGAGUGGUAAACAGGGUUUUUUUCCUGAGCGGUAAACAGGGUUAAUUCCGAACGGUAAACGGGUUUACUUCCGAACGGUAAACAGGGUUAAUUCCGAGUGGUAAACAGGGUUAAUUCAGCAUAGUUAAAAUAGAAACAACUCGAAAGGUUGAAGCGUAGGUAUUAAGUCCGAGGGGUUAACCUUCUAGAGUCUAUGUCCACGCCCCCGUGAGAAUUCUAUUAGCAUAAUGAAACAAUCCCCAUUUAAAAUCCAUCAGUUUAAGCUAGAGAUAUUACCUUUUGUUGCAUUGGAUUCCGUCUCAAUCCACGGCAUCCACUGAUGUCUCACUUCCGCACCUGCGGUGGAAGGUGACAGAGCUAGAGCGGUGUUUGUCAGACCAAGAGACAUCCAGAAAAUCAUUAUUCUCACAAAAUUGGUUUUGUAACAUCCGAAUG